CUAGUUUGUAAUAGCCAAUUCUUGUUAAAACUAAAGAUGGGGGGUUUGUGGAGUGUUUAAUGUCAUGGGCAUUUUUAGUAGCAUAGGCCCUUUGCUCUGCAUUUGAAUGUUUCAUGUAUUUUUGUUCCACAGUUAAUCUUCCCUCCCCAAGUUUGCUAUUCAAAUCCAAUGCCUGAGUGACAGUUUCUAGCAGUUUGACAUAUUUUUUGAGGAAGAGUUUGUGAUUCCAAUGCAGGUGUCUUCAUUACUGUUACCUCUACGUUGAGGGGAAAAAGCAAAACCCCUUGUUAGAAUUACUGCACAUGUUUAUGGAAAAAAUAUUUUUUAAAGACUAGAAUGAUACAAGUGAGCAAAAGAAGUUGGUCAGCUUGACUAUGGAGUGGUGGCAAUAAUCUCUAAACAUUCCAAAAGA